UCAGAGCACAAUGAAGAGAGAAGUGUUCAUCUAGACAGAUACCCCUGGAUAAAACAUCAUGAGGAAUAGGAGAUACCACUCACUGGCAAGACACUUGGAGGCACUGCGUAGAGCACACCAGUCCAGCCCACUGGGCCUUCCCUAUACCAUGAGUCAAGCAGCUUUCCUCCACCACACCCUUCUGCAUUGAUGUUUAGAGUCAGCCAAUCUGGACCGAAUCCUCUGCAAACAUGAGUGAAAAUAAAUAUUUUCUUCUCUAAGUUGAUCUUGCCAGAAGCUGUGAUAACAGCACCCAGAGUCUCCCCAUCUUCUGGGAGAGUGUCCAGCAAUUAAUCCAGCAGCUGCCAGCCUUCUCAGAGCACCACCACCCAAGGUCCCGACCUCUUCACUAUUCACAGCUGGAGAACCAAGAAAGUCAGCAGUCAAAUUCAGUCAAAGGCUAAAGUUUUGAGAACCAGUAGCACUGAUGUACAAGAGCAGCAGACAUUGUAUAUCCUAACUCAAACAGAAGCAAAUCUUUCUUCCUCCACCUUUUUGUUCCAUAUUAAGAAGUUUGAUGCUGGAUGCGGUGGCGCACUCGGCUCUGGAGACCGAGGCAGGAGAAUCGUAGCUGUUGCAAGACCACCUGACUCUGAACAUCAUGUCCAAGUGCCUCUCUCAUGUGACUGAGUUAUGACUAUGUUUUCUUUUUUUGUGGAGUUUUCGAUAGGUUGGAAAUGUACCUCCUGCAUUUUAUUUUAUUUUUAUUAUGCAUCCUAUAUUUUAUGUACUUCCUUUCCUCAUUUGCUUUUGCUGUUUGAUAAUGCAUUUCCCAAGAAGUCUCAAGUUCUAUAUGAAUUCCUUGUUUUGACCUAUACUUCAUAAGAAAAAUAUAUUAAGACAAAGACUUUGAUAAAGAGGUGAAAAUGGUUUGGUCACCCUUUGAAAAGUUCAAAAACUACAUUAGAAUAAAUUUUUCUAAUUAUCAAACUGGAGAAAAAUAGUUUUAUUAAAGAUUUAUUACUGGGUGUGGUGGCACAUGCC